GACGAACGCUGGCGGCGUGCUUAACACAUGCAAGUCGAACGGAAAGGCCCUGCUUUUGUGGGGUGCUCGAGUGGCGAACGGGUGAGUAACACGUGAGUAACCUGCCCUUGACUUUGGGAUAACUUCAGGAAACUGGGGCUAAUACCGGAUAGGAGCUCCUGCUGCAUGGUGGGGGUUGGAAAGUUUCGGCGGUUGGGGAUGGACUCGCGGCUUAUCAGCUUGUUGGUGGGGUAGUGGCUUACCAAGGCUUUGACGGGUAGCCGGCCUGAGAGGGUGACCGGCCACAUUGGGACUGAGAUCCGGCCCAGACUCCUACGGGAGGCAGCAGUGGGGAAUAUUGAACAAUGGGCGGAAGCCUGAUGCAGCAACGCCGCGUGCGGGAUGACGGCCUUCGGGUUGUAAACCGCUUUCGCCUGUGACGAAGCGUGAGUGACGGUAAUGGGUAAAGAAGCACCGGCUAACUACGUG
rnacentral:rRNA from 1 species